rnacentral:rRNA from 1 species
UUCAUCCAAAGCUAAAUAUUGGCGAGAGACCGAUAGCGAACAAGUACCGUGAGGGAAAGGUGAAAAGCACCCCGACAAGGGGAGUGAAAGAGACCUGAAACCGGAUGCCUACAAGCAGUCGGAGCCGCAUCUGCGGUGACGGCGUACCUUUUGUAUAAUGGGUCAGCGACUU